rnacentral:rRNA from 1 species
GUCUUGAGGUGGGGGAUAACUCCGGGAAACUGGAGCUAAUACCGCAUGAUAACUGAGGUUCAAAGGUCGCAAGACCGCCUUGAGAGGGGCCUGCGUUCGAUUAGUUAGUUGGUGGGGUAAUGGCCUACCAAGACGAUGAUCGAUAGCUGGUUUGAGAGGAUGAUCAGCCACACUGGGACUGAGACACGGCCCAGACUCCUACGGGAGGCAGCAGUGGGGAAUAUUGGACAAUGGGGGCAACCCUGAUCCAGCAAUGCCGCGUGUGUGAAGAAGGUCUUCGGAUUGUAAAACACUUUCGUUGGGGACGAUGAUGACGGUACCCAAAGAAGAAGCCCCGGCUAACUUCGUGCCAGCAGCCGCGGUAAUACGAAGGGGGCGAGCGUUGCUCGGAAUAACUGGGCGUAAAGGGCGCGUAGGCGGCCGAUAGCUGUCAGAUGUGAAAUUUUUGGGCUCAACCCGAAAACUGCAUUUGAUACGUAUUGGCUAGAGUGCGAGAGAGGANUGCGGAAUUCCCAGUGUAGAGGUGAAAUUCGUAGAUAUUGGGAAGAACACCAGUUGCGAA